rnacentral:rRNA from 1 species
AUUCGCGGCCUAUCAGCUUGUUGGUGAGGUAACGGCUCACCAAGGCUUCGACGGGUAGCUGGUCUGAGAGGAUGUCCAGCCACACUGGGACUGAGACACGGCCCAGACUCCUACGGGAGGCAGCAGUUAGGAAUCUUGCGCAAUGGGCGAAAGCCUGACGCAGCGACGCCGCGUGCGGGAUGAAGGCCUUCGGGUUGUAAACCGCUUUCAGCAGGGACGAAAUUGACGGUACCUGCAGAAGAAGCCCCGGCCAACUACGUGCCAGCAGCCGCGGUAAUACGUAGGGGGCUAGCGUUGUCCGGAUUUAUUGGGCGUAAAGAGCUCGUAGGUGGUUCGGUUAGUCGGAUGUGAAAUCUCCAGGCUCAACCUGGAGGGGUCAUUCGAUACUGCCGUGACUAGAGUUCGGUAGAGGAGUGUGGAAUUCCUGGUGGAGCGGUGAAAUGCGCAGAGAUCAGGAGGAACACCCGUAGCGAAGGCGGCACUCUGGGCCGAUACUGACACUGAGGAGCGAAAGCGUGGGGAGCGAACAGGAUUAGAUACCCUGGUAGUCCACGCCGUAAACGUUGGGCACUAGGUGUGGGGUUCUAUCGACGGAUUCCGUGCCGUAGCUAACGCAUUAAGUGCCCCGCCUGGGGAGUACGGAAUCGUCGACUGCAGGCGAC